CCUACGGGGGGCAGCAGUGGGGAAUAUUGGGCAAUGGGCGCAAGCCUGACCCAGCAACGCCGCGUGAAGGAAGAAGGCUUUCGGGUUGUACACUUCUUUUAUGAGGGACGAAACAAAUGACGGUACCUCAUGAAUAAGCCACGGCUAACUACGUGCCAGCAGCCGCGGUAAUACGUAGGUGGCAAGCGUUAUCCGGAUUUACUGGGUGUAAAGGGCGUGUAGGCGGGACUGCAAGUCAGAUGUGAAAAUUAUGGGCUCAACCCAUAACCUGCAUUUGAAACUGUAGGUCUUGAGUGAUGGAGAGG
rnacentral:rRNA from 1 species